CCGAAAUAAAUGGUCUAAAAAGGAAGAAAGAUGAGCGGGAGAAUCUCAACGAGGAGAUUUCAAAAUUUUGUGCAGGGUAAGCCAUGGCGGAGGACUGACGUUUCAAAAUUUGCGGCCACAAAUCAUGGAGGUGUCCAUUCUUCCUAUUAGGCGUCGUUUCGACAUGAUCGCAAGUUGAAUAGAGCGAAGCAAGAUGCCUUUGAUAUUUGUGAAGAUGACCGUGGGGUUGGGAUGCAUCUUCAAAAUUCCUUUUGUCCCUCUUUCCCCAAUAACAUUCCUCUUGCUGGUCUGCAAAGCCGUGUUCAAGGAAAAUGGCCCUUCUAUCACGUGGAUUCUUAUCAAGAGGGUUUCAAUAGGAAAAAUUCUUUGUCCUUUCCAAACAAUAUCCCAAUUGGCAGCGCACAAAACUCUUCUAUCAAAAAUGGGAAUAAGGGUUUUCCAUCUUUUCCCAUUUAUAUCCCUUUAGGACUCCCUUCAAUCCAGAUAAGCUUGUUAAGAUUCGACAACAAUGGGAAUCCAUAAAAGUUUGGGUAAGGAAACGUCAACCAGAGCCGUCUCGCACAGAGCCUAUCCCAGUGUUAGCGAAUGCGGGCAUAGGAGAUUGUGUAGGAGGGUACAAGAUCACAUUACCAGAUGAUGUGCUGGAGGGUCAAAUUUCUUUGCUCAAAGAAACAACGAUUAUAAGGGAGGAUUUUUUCAUUGCUAUUUUCUCAACAAGAGGGCUGGAGAUUGUGUACAUAGAAGGAAAGAUUGGUUUUGUGAGGGAGAAGACCUUUUCACUCUUCCAUGGACUCCAAAUUUCAAUCCAACUACUCAAAAGAUUAAUUACAUUCCGGUCUGGAUAUCCUUUCCCUCUUUGCCGUUGGAGUACAGAGACUUAGAUCUGGUUGAAUCUUUUGCUAAUCAAAUGGGCAUUUUACUUAAACAUGAUUUGGUCCCAUAUGAGGAGACGGAUCGGACUGUCAGGGUAUGCCUAUUAGUGGAUUUUUGUAAAUCUUUUCCCAAACAGCUGAUUAUCCGAUCUAGUUUUGGUUGUUGGACUCAAAAUGUGAUAAUGGAUGACCCCCUUACAAUUCAAAAUCAUUAUAAUUUGUUAGGUCAUUUCACAUCCCAAUGUAAGAGGACUGGUCAGAUGGAGAUCAAUGUCUGUCAGGAUUAUUCCACAAACCCAAUGUGUUGUAAAGCUCUGAAUAUGUCUCAUGUGACAUCAGAUUUAAUAUAUAAGAAACAAGAUGCUCAUAAGUUUGAUGAUUA